CCCAUUUCAGGGCUGAGUGGUGGUGAGGAAGAAUCUUUUUCUGGAGAUCCCUCCUCUGUGGAGUCUUUCCUGUGAACGUGGAUCUUUAGAAACAGUGCCUGAUGGAUCCAGUCAGCAAUGUUAACUGAAUGCCACCUAAAUAAUCUCAGCACAGCAAGUUUAUAAAAAUGACAGUGCCAGAAAUUCUCUUCAAUAUGAGUGACAGAGACAAUGUUCUUGCAGCACAGAAGAAGUGGACAUGUUUCACUGCUCAGGCAAGAUUGUAUUUAUUCCCUAAUGUCUGCCAAAUCAUUCAAAACAAAAGAAGGCAGCUGGCAGGACUUCAAAAGGAAUUCUGUGGAUGAAGUAAGUCAAGCUGCACUGCUUUACCUGGCUAAGCUCUUGGAGACCAACAAAGAUGAAACACGAAGCUUCUGGGUCAGCCAGGAACCUCUUUGCAAUACUACAGAUAGAAAUUAACCUGCUCACUGCGAUGUAACAAGCUAUUCAAAGAUGAAGUUGAAACUAUAUUGUUCUUUAAUUUUGGAUGCACAUUCUCUGAGAGAUAAAUAAAAAGUGUGCUUUAGGUCUGAGAAGGAAUAUCUUUAGACAGAGCAAAAGAGCAUGUACUCUUUAUGGACUCUUGCUUGUUAUAAAAAUCUGGUAAUUGGUCUCUUGUAUGUUUAUUCAGACUGCGGUUAUUCCUAAGUUUUGAAAUGUCUAGCUUAAAAUAAAAAAAAAAAAGCAAA